UUCUCGUGUUCUCAAGCUGCACAAAUAGAUACUUAUUCAUCUCCAAGAGAAAUUCAAACAGAUGUACUACUAUAGUGUAUUUUCACCCGCUUUCUUCCACUUUAUUUGCUCCCGAAUGCUGAUACUAUGUGGGAAUGCAUAAAGGAUGGAUGAUAAGAGGUUUCACUCUGCAUCUGUCUCAACAACUGGGCCCGUUUGUUCUACAGUGGAAUGAAAGAGUGACUGAACCCUCCUGUCAGUCAUUCAGUCUGUUUGUGUCAGUGGGGAGAGGCGAGGCGCUGAAAGAAUAACUGACAACUACGAAUGCAUGUGGCAGCGCUGCCCUGCCACACAACAGCUGGCAUAACACUACACCAAGGAUGCUGUCCAAUCUCAAAACCAACCGUGGAAAACAUCCAUGUUUCCUUAUUUAAACAUGGAGUUGUAAGGAUGAUUGACACUCACCCACAGCCUUCAGGGAGGCGUACUUGUUGAGAUCCUUGUUUUGAUGCUGCUGCUGCUGCUGUUGUUGCUGCUGCUGCUGCUGCUGCUGCUGCUGCUGCUGCUGCUGCUGCUGCUGUUGUUGUUGUUGUUGUUGUUGAUGUUCAUACACAUGAGCCAGCUGACCGAGAGCAGGAUAAGGGUGCUGUUGGACCAUGUUUGAUGCCUGUCCCACGUUGUUGUUGAUCUGACCGCCCUCUGUGGACACGAUAAUAAACAUUAGGUGGGAGGACCUUUUCAGCAAGCAAGAGGCAAAAGCAGAACAUAAAAUGUGAGUGUUUGUGUAUUCAGUAAAAACACAUGCUUGCGUUGGACGCUUCAUUAGGUACACCUGCACACAUUCUAAUGACAUCCACCACAAGAAGGGGAAGCUUAAUGCCCCUGAGGUUAUGCAAUUCAUAGUCUGAAUAUUCUGACCAAUAUUCUGGGGGAAAAUCUAUUAAAAUUUCCAAAAUUUGGAUGCCCCUCCAUCUCUUCAAGAUGUGUACAUGUGGGUUUAUUUUUAAGACAUCAUAAUACGUGUCACUUGCUGACAAAGUUGUUUUUGUUUUUAUGUUUUACACUAGUUAACUUCUUCAGGUUUGUCAUUCACUCUUUUUUCCCGCCUUCGCCAUUUUAACAGCUUUAAAAAAAAAAAAAAAAAUCAGGUUCUGUGUGAAAGUUGCUCAAGUGCCAAGAACGUCUCGAACAUUCACCAGCUCUGCUGUGCUAAAAGUACGGAUGGGUGGAUCAAUCAAAAAAUCUAUAUUAUCGAUAUCAGGGUAGUGUUGGCAUCGGAUUGAUACUUGCCAAUAUGGUUAUUUUCACAAAUAUCGGUGUGUUUUUUGUUGUGCUGUUCCAUUAUAUUGUAUAUAUUGUUAUAUUGUACGCUUGAGGGCAUCUGAAUAAUUUUUGCUUUUAUUUACUGAUUUUGCGUGAUUCAGUUCAAUCAAGGAGAUACCUUCAUUUGCAUGAUUCUAUUCCCGAUCAACAAAUUACAGGCAAAAAUCACAAAAUUACUCAAUGGUAUAAAAGUAUCAGUAUCCGCGACUCUGGUCCUAUAUUUGUUUGGUAUCUGAUUGAUACCAAAAUGUGUAGUAUUGCCCGCCUCUAGUAAAAAGUAAAGUAAAUGUCAACCGUAAAGGAUUUUAAAUCCUAUUUUAAGGAUAACCUCAAACAGAAACCUGACCAUCUGACUUUCAAGGAACCUACACUGCAAAGUAUCUGCUAUUGAAUUCCCACAGCCCAGACUAUUUACUGCAAUGUGGUAGUCUAGCACUAGAAAUUAGGUUUGAAUCCUGAAAACUACUUUGUGGCAAAAUAUGUCUUCAAUUCUGGGUCAUAGCAUGCAUUCCCAGAUAGCAUGUGAAUAACUAAAUUGACUUCCAAUCAUAAAUGGCGAUUGUAUUUAUUACCAUUUAUGCAUUUUUUUUUCACCUUAACAUCCCAUUAGUGUGAUUACUGGACUUCAGACUUCAGGUUAUUAGUUAGAUAGACUUUAUUGCAUCCUAUACAAACCUUAAUUAAGUGCUAUGGCUUUUAAAUGCUGCUUAACUGCAAUAACUGAGUAAACCACACAGUUUGCAGUAAGAAGGUUUCAUGUUGUGAUUGUAGUGAGUGCUCUGUACUCCAGCACAUUGUUAUAAGUAGCUGUUCCCUAACCAUGCUCAUAAUUGAUCCGCCUUCCUCCACACUUGAGUUAUGCAAUAGUGCUAAAAAGCCGAGCGUCUUCUCGAUGAUGCAAAAACCAGUUGGUAAAGAUAACACAUUGAGCAAAGUUACAGAUAUUCACAAGUGCACUCUUUGAGAGAGGCAGGGACGGGAAAUCCUGCAAAGCACAGCCAAAUGUCACUUUAAAUGUGGGAAUAUUUCACUUCGGCUGUGUUCCGCUGCCUGAAAGCCUGACAGAUAAUUGUAAAGUCCUGUUACUGCUGCUGCAAGUAUCCUUGCUGAGGACAUUGUGUUAAAAGCAGUCUGACAGUGCCACUUGAUGAUAAUAAAGAAGCAAGGUAAAGAUGCUUGUCAGUAAAAAUGGAGAAUGAAAAAGUAAAGUCAUAAAAGAUGAAGAUGAAAUCGUAGAGGUAAUCUUUUCAAAUACAGACUGCUGUUGUGUGGCUGCAACCCAUCAAUAUCGAUCAUCUCCUCUUCUGUUUGGUCAAGAAAAGGCAUUGUUCAGACAUGACAGGAGGCCUUAAACCUGGGGGUGUUUUGCUUUUUUUUAAUGCACACCCAUUGAGCCAAAAGAUAUUUAUGAGGUUAAUUAUGUGACUGAAAAUUCCAAAUUGGAUUGUGUUGAUGUUAUCAAACAUUCCGCCACAGGCUCAUCUUAAGAACAUGUGCUAAUGAAGGCGACAAAUGAGGAAAAGGACGCUCUUUCUCCAGGCAUUUCAUUGAAUCUUUUCAUAUGUCAACAUUCACUGCAGUCUUGAUGGGAUCAAGCAACAGCUUUACUUUAUUAUAUGUAAGGCCAAAAUGGACAAUGGCGGGGACAACCAAUUUUCUUAGCACAUAAUGGAUUUUAUCUGGUUGAAGAGCACCAUACUAAAAUUCAAUAUCCUAUCAAAGCACAAGUGCACCUCCUUGCACGUCCUUAUUUUCAGGCACUCUGCCAUCAACUGAUUUGAAUCCGUGAACAUAAAUGGGAACGGUGGCACAGAAUUGCAAAGCCUUUCUAAACUCAAUUAUAAAGAAAUGGGACUGAUACUAAAUUGUCCAUGAAUAUGGAAAUGUGGUGUGAUUAAGUUUGAAUAGUCACAGCCUAAUAAAUUGAACUGGUGUUUUUGCUGGAAGGGUGCAUGUGACAACUGUUAAAUUAUAAAAAAAAUAAAAUAUAUUACCUCAAUGAGUCUAAUAUAAACAUGUGGUUACAACUUGGUGUGUUUUAGGAUUGGACAUUCCUGUCACUGCAUUACACUUUAAUGAUUCAAUUUGGAACCUGUGCACCUUUUUGGACCAACAGUAUCACACAAAAUUAAAAAGCCCCAUCACGUCUCCGUUUAGAGUGGUCAGCUUACAGCUUGUAUGGCGGUAUA